rnacentral:rRNA from 1 species
UACGUAGGGUGCGAGCGUUGUCCGGAAUUACUGGGCGUAAAGAGCUCGUAGGUGGUUUGUCGCGUUGUUCGUGAAAACUCACAACUCAAUUGUGGGCGUGCGGGCGAUACGGGCAGACUGGAGUACUGCAGGGGAGACUGGAAUUCCUGGUGUAGCGGUGGAAUGCGCAGAUAUCAGGAGGAACACCGGUGGCGAAGGCGGGUCUCUGGGCAGUAACUGACGCUGAGGUGCGAAAGCGUGGGGAGCAAACAGG